UACGAAGGGGGCUAGCGUUGCUCGGAAUCACUGGGCGUAAAGGGCGCGUAGGCGGCCUGUUAAGUCGGACGUGAAAUCCCCGGGCUCAACCCGGGAACUGCAUCCGAUACUGGCAGGCUUGAAUUCGGGAGAGGGAUGUGGAAUUCCAGGUGUAGCGGUGAAAUGCGUAGAUAUCUGGAGGAACACCGGUGGCGAAGGCGGCAUCCUGGACCGACAUUGACGCUGAGGCGCGAAGGCCAGGGGAGCAAACGGG
rnacentral:rRNA from 1 species